CGGCGGCAGAGAGGAGACUAUGGAACGUCAGGUGAGGGCUCGGCCCGCGGUCCCCGUGGUCCCUGCAGCCCGGGCCGGGCCUGACCCUGGUGUGUCCCCUGCGCAGGUGCUGCUGAGCGAGCCCGAGGAGGCGGCGGCUCUGUAUCGGGGCCUUAGCCGCCAGCCCGCGCUGAGCGCCGCCUGCCUGGGCCCGGAGGUCACCACGCAGUACGGCGGCCAAUACCGGACGGUGCACACUGAGUGGACCCAGAGGGACCUGGAACGCAUGGAGAACAUUCGAUUCUGCCGCCAAUACCUGGUGUUCCAUGAUGGGGACUCAGUGGUGUUUGCAGGACCUGCAGGCAACAGUGUGGAGACCCGGGGGGAACUGCUGAGCAGAGAGUCUCCUUCAGGCACCAUGAAAGCUGUGCUGCGCAAGGCUGGAGGCACGGGCCCUGGGGAAGAGAAGCAGUUCCUGGAGGUCUGGGAGAAGAACCGGAAGCUCAAGAGCUUCAACCUGUCAGCACUGGAGAAACAUGGGCCUGUUUAUGAGGAUGACUGCUUUGGCUGCCUGUCCUGGUCGCACUCGGAGACACACUUGUUGUAUGUGGCAGAGAAGAAGCGCCCCAAGGCCGAGUCCUUCUUUCAGACCAAAGCCUUGGACGUCAGUGCCAGCGAUGAUGAGAUAGCCAGGCUGAAGAAGCCAGACCAAGCCAUCAAGGGGGAUCAGUUUGUGUUUUAUGAAGACUGGGGAGAAAACAUGGUUUCCAAAAGCAUCCCUGUGCUCUGCGUGCUGGAUGUCGAGAGUGGCAACAUCUCUGUGCUUGAGGGGGUCCCUGAGAAUGUGUCC
rnacentral:sRNA from 1 species